rnacentral:rRNA from 1 species
AUCAACUUUCGAUGGUAGGAUAGAGGCCUACCAUGGUGGUAACGGGUAACGGGGUGUUAGGGCACGACACCGGAGAGGGAGCCUGAGAAACGGCUACCACAUCCAAGGAUGGCAGCAGGCGCGCAAAUUACCCAAUCCCGACACGGGGAGGUAGUGACAAUAAAUAACAAUACGGGGUCCUUUCGGGUUUCGUAAUUGGAAUGAGUACAAUUUAAAUCUCUUAACGAGGAACAAUUGGAGGGCAAGUCUGGUGCCAGCAGCCGCGGUAAUUCCAGCUCCAAUAGCGUAUAUUAAAGUUGUUGCAGUUAAAAAGCUCGUAGUUGAAUUUCGGGACUAGUACGCUGGUCGUGCCUUCGGUAUGUACUGGUGUUACUGGUUCCUACCUUCUGACGAACCGUCAUGUCAUUAAUUUGGUGUGGCGGGAAAUCAGGACUGUUACUUUGAAAAAAUUAGAGUGUUUAAAGCAGGCUCGCGCUUGAAUACAUUAGCAUGGAAUAAUGAAAUAGGACGUUCGAUCCUAUUUUGUUGGUUUCUAGGAUUGACGUAAUGAUUAAUAGGGAUAGUUGGGAGCAUUAGUAUUCAAUUGUCAGAGGUGAAAUUCUUGGAUUUAUUGAAGACUAACUACUGCGAAAGCAUUUGCCAAGGAUGUUUUCAUUAAUCAAGAACGAAAGUUAGGGGAUCGAAGACGAUCAGAUACCGUCGUAGUCUUAACCAUAAACUAUGCCGACUAGGGAUCGAAUGAUGUUAUUUUUAAUGACUCAUUCGGCGCCUUACGGGAAACCAAAGUGUUUGGGUUC